GCAGCAGUGGGGAAUAUUGCACAAUGGGCGCAAGCCUGAUGCAGCCAUGCCGCGUGUAUGAAGAAGGCCUUCGGGUUGUAAAGUACUUUCAGCGGGGAGGAAGGUGUUGUGGUUAAUAACCGCAGCAAUUGACGUUACCCGCAGAAGAAGCACCGGCUAACUCCGUG
rnacentral:rRNA from 1 species